UGCGCCUCGGGGAUGUUCCGUCCUCCCCACUAGGCCCGAGGAGGCGGCCAUGAGGAGCGCGCAGCCGCCAGAACCAUGGGGAGAUCCAGCCGGCGCCGUCGGCAGCCAUCCCUCCCUUCGGCGGCCAUGAGAAUUGAAGAGUCUUGAGUAGCACGAGCGCAUGGACGGUGCGCACCUCCCGCGAUAGGAGCCACCGGUCCUCGUCAUCUGCUAGCAUCCACGAGGAAUCGAUCCAUCGUCCAUAUGUAAGCUAGCUUCCACAAUAAUCCAUCCAGCAGGCUGCUUGCUUGUAUGUGUACUAGAGGAAACGGGAGCAAGAUGCGUGGCCGGCGUCGAGGGUACAUUCGCGCUGCUAAUUUAUUCUCCUGAAUGUUUGCGAGAAGCUCGAUUAGUGUCGAUGCCUCAAGGGCUUAUGCAUAUCAAUUCCAUGCUGCUUAAAGCCACGGUAAUCAUGGCUUCUGGUUUCCAGGUAUAUGUUUAUGCAGUCAUAUGGACGCACUCCUUGACAAUUCAUAAGGAAUGUUUAUAUUCUUUAUAACGUUGCCAUGGAAUGUGUACUAUUAUAAAACAUCUUGCGGGUACAUUGGUUAGGUACUAGAAGGCACACACACACACACAUGCCCAACACAACAACAAGCACACACAUACAACACAACACAAGCAAAACAUAGAUGCUCUGCUCCUGAUUUCUCAAUAGCAUGAUGAUGCCUUUGCACUGGGGGCCACUUUGCAUGUGCUUGCUCAUGUACUGACCUGAUUGAUAGGUGUUUCCGUGUUUGUGCUGCUGUGUUCAACUAAUGUCCAGAUACAACAAGUUAGCCUUCAUUUGUACAAGAGCUAAGUAGAACUGUCUCAACUCCUUUUUGUGUGGUUGCUUACCACACAUCGUCCACUUGGUGACUGUCGAAACUCUUAAUACAAUAGCACAGUAGUUUACUACUAUGUGGGAUUAAAUGGGAUUAUCUGGGCAAGCAGACACAACAUGGUUGAUUGUGGGCUGCCCACAAACACCUGCAUAACACAUGUGUGCUGGUGUGGGCAUUCCUCUAUUAGUCCCACUUGCAGCCUGAAUGUGUAUCCCUAAGUAAGUGAAUGGUCGUGCAUAUCCAUUGAAAUAUUGUUCAUGCACAUUCUGUUAUCAUUGUCGUUGAAUAACAUUGAUCAUAAUAUAGGUUGCAUCCAAAGUAGUUUUAAAGACUACAUAUCCAAACCAGCGGAAUGUUGCAUCUGCUACUAUUCGAAGUACUGGUCUAGAAACUAUGGUUGGUGAUAUUUAGUUAGGUGCUGAAUUUUCACUUGUGUGCAGAGAUGAACCAAUUCUGGAUAAUGAGUUAGUAAGGUAAGUUUCUGAUUGCAAGAGAAUUGAUGACACUUUUACUUCAGGAUACUUAAUUGCUCGACCUUCAGCUUUUGUAAGUUGGAGUCUUUUCUUCCAUAUUACAAAAUUAUAUUUGUAUACAUUUAAUCACAUAAUCAUAAGGUCCAUUUAUUUCUUGCAGAUUCAAAAGAAGCAUAAUUGAGUUGCAGCUGAAUUCUUUGGUUGGAUGAAAAAGCAAAUAACUGUAGUUUACAUUGCUAGAUAGAAAAAUGUAAUAGCAUUUAGAAGAUCUUUUUCUUUGGUUGAAUUGAUGUAAAUGCUAUGGUGUAAUAUUCUCCAUAGAUGUUUCUUUAUUGUAAAAUUGAUAUGAAUGAUAUGUUUUUCAAUCAGUAAUAGUGGUAUCCCACACUCUUGUAUA